AUACCAGCCCCGCGAGUGGUCGGGGUGAUUAUUGGGCCUAAAGCGCCCGUAGCCGGCCCGGCAAGUCUCCCUCUAAAGCCCCGGGCUCAACCCGGGGAGUGGGGGAGAUACUGCCGGGCUAGGGGGCGGGAGAGGCCGAGGGUACUCCCGGGGUAGGGGCGAAAUCCUAUAAUCCCGGGAGGACCACCAGUGGCGAAGGCGCUCGGCUGGAACGCGUCCGACGGUGAGGGGCGAAAGCCGGGGGAGCGAACCGGAUUAGAUACCCUAGUAGUCC
rnacentral:rRNA from 1 species